GACGAACGCUGGCGGCGUGCUUAACACAUGCGAGUCGAACGGAAAGGCCCUGCUUUUGUGGGGUGCUCGAGUGGCGAACGGGUGAGUAACACGUGAGUAACCUGCCCUUGACUUUGGGAUAACUUCAGGAAACUGGGGCUAAUACCGGAUAGGAGCUCCUGCUGCAUGGUGGGGGUUGGAAAGUUUCGGCGGUUGGGGAUGGACUCGCGGCUAAUCAGCUUGUUGGUGGGGUAGUGGCUUACCAAGGCUUUGACGGGUAGCCGGCCUGAGAGGGUGACCGGCCACAUUGGGACUGAGAUACGGCCCAGACUCCUACGGGAGGCAGCAGUGGGGAAUAUUGCACAAUGGGCGGAAGCCUGAUGCAGCAACGCCGCGUGCGGGAUGACGGCCUUCGGGUUGUAAACCGCUUUCGCCUGUGACGAAGCGUGAGUGACGGUAAUGGGUAAAGAAGCACCGGCUAACUACGUG
rnacentral:rRNA from 1 species